rnacentral:tRNA from 1 species
GCCCGGAUAGCUCAACGCCCGAGCAGCCGUCUUGUACACGGCCGGUUGCCGGUUCGAGUCCGGCUCCGGGCUCCA